GCGGGCCGAAGAGGAAAGGUUACCAUUGUCCUGGGGUUGUCGCGGGUUCGAGUCCCGCCGGGCCGCA
rnacentral:tRNA from 1 species